GGGCCCGUGGUCUAGUUGGUUAUGACAUCGCCCUCACAUGGCGAAGGUCCCCAGUUCAAAUCUGGGCGGGCCCA
rnacentral:tRNA from 1 species